UUUACUUCGCUCAAACAUGGCGCCUUGUGUCAUCGUGUGGGUUUUUGGAAGCAUUUUAGAUGAGCAAGAAAAGAUGCCUACUCAAAGUGCCAGAGUGCCAGAAGAUGAUUGGGGUGGCUUCUAAAACAUGCCAACACUGUGGCAGCAAACAGCACCACAAAGAGAGGCUGCAAAAA